rnacentral:tRNA from 1 species
UAGAAAGUGGUAAAACGGAAUUACAGGGAGUUUUGAUCUCCCAGUUAUAGGUUCAAUUCCUAUCUUUCUAA